AUGAACGCUAGCUACAGGCUUAACACAUGCAAGUCGAGGGGCAGCAUGGUCUUAGCUUGCUAAGACUGAUGGCGACCGGCGCACGGGUGAGUAACACGUAUCCAACCUGCCGUCUACUCUUGGACAGCCUUCUAGAAAGGAAGAUUAAUAUCCGAUAGCAUAUUGAGAUCGCAUGAUUUUGAUAUUAAAGAAUUUCGGUUAUCGAUGGGGAUGCGUUCCAUUAGUUUGUUGGCGGGGUAACGGCCCACCAAGACUACGAUGGAUAGGGGUUCUGAGAGGAAGGUCCCCCACAUUGGAACUGAGACACGGUCCAAACUCCUACGGGAGGCAGCAGUGAGGAAUAUUGGUCAAUGGACGAGAGUCUGAACCAGCCAAGUAGCGUGAAGGAUGACUGCCCUAUGGGUUGUAAACUUCUUUUAUAUGGGAAUAAAGUAUUCCACGUGUGGGAUUUUGUAUGUACCAUAUGAAUAAGGAUCGGCUAACUCCGUG
rnacentral:rRNA from 1 species